rnacentral:misc_RNA from 1 species
UAUGGCCUAUGAGAUAGUACAAACUAUUUUACCAUUUGUCUACAUUAUAAAAGUUGACCUUUAAAAUCCUUAGUACGAUACACGCAUGCUCGACAGGUAUUUACAAGAACAGAGAAGUAAAUUACAGGGCAGAUAAGAAAAUGGCAGGUCAGUAAUGUUUUUAUGUCUUUUUUACUGGUAUUUUUGUCGAAGUUAUGAAAUAUCUUAUUGUUAUGUUUAUGUCAUUAUGUGUAUUAUUAUCACAAGAAGUUUGUGUCGAUUUUUUUUCUAAAGUGAUAUGGCAGAUAUUCCAUUGUCAAUGUUAUCUAUAAUGCAUAUUCAUUGAUCUUUAUACACGCUUGGAUUUUGUUUAUCUUAUACCGUUUUAAACAUUAUAGUCUGAUCUGCUAAACUGCAAUUAGCCCAUAUUGUUUGGUCAUGUUGCUGCACCAUGGCGGUCAUGUUGCUGCACCAUGGCGAUCUACUCACGUCGUACAUAAAACAUUCGUACACACACUUUUUUCGUAAAAUAAAAUGGCGUCGUUCGAAAUAAUCUUUUAAUCGGAAGGUUUGAAUUAUCGUAUAUAUAAAAAGAGUUUUGCUUUGUACAGUACUUGAAUAUUUGUUACCCUCUAUUAUGUAAAUUCAGGUGUAUGGACCAUAUCUCUUAGGAGAUGAAGACCAUUAACUUUUUCAAUGUAAUCAUUUCAGUUUAUCCAGAAAAAAAUCUUCCUCGUUACUAGUAAACACACACUAAUACUCCUAAAUACUCGUUACAAUUACACACACUAUAAUGAACAAAAAAGAAAAAAAUGCAUCGAAAAAGUUUGCACUUUUUUGUAGAAAUACACUGUCUGCUUUUGGUUAAUAUGUACAUCUAUUCUCCACUACUUGAUAUGAUAUGUAUAAAACUUAUGUUGUCUUGCAUAUCACCUUGUUUGUUUGUUUUGUAAAUAUUUUUAUGUUAUGAUCACUUGGCCUUAGUGGGCCCUGAUUGAAACAAAAUCUUGAAUCUUGCUAAUUACAAUUUAACGUGGGCGGGUCAUUUUAGAUGUUAAGAAGAUCAACGUUCCUGUUUCAAUUUUUCUGAUACUCAUGUACAGCAAACCACUUCUUUCAAAUCAUCAAUUAAAUAAUUGGUAGCACGAUUAACAGAUUUACAAGAAGUUCCAAUGUGGUUUAUACCCGCCGAAACGCACAAAAUAUAACAUAUAGAAUUCAAUUCUUAACAACCCUCUGAAGUAACAAAUUAAACCGUGUUUCGACAACUUACGAUGACAGGAACAUAAAAUCAAAACACUUCCCAUACUAAAUAGGUGUUCCCGCAUAAAAACAACAAUCUCGCCGGGUUCAUGCAUAGUUCUAAGCACAAAUAAUGAAACAAGAGUUCUCAAUAUUUUUGAAAACAUCUUAAUUAGGGAGAAUGUGCUAUAUUUAUGAUUAUUGAAAAUAUAAGUUCGCUGUCUAGGGAACAGAUUCCCGUUCUCUAGCCACUUCCUAACAGGCAUUUUAUGCUCUUUUUUGUAACGUCGUACAAAUGUUAUCGUAGCAUUUACAAAACAAUGCAUGUUUUUCAUUUAAAACAUUUUCUGUUUUAUAUUUCAUGGUGACAACAAAUACCCGGUAUAUCUGCUCCUUCUAUAGAUGAAACAACAAGGGGUUCCGUAGGACCAUACACAUGUCACAAGGAUGCUUUGUACGUCGUUAUAGCUAUAGCUGUAAUAGUUGGAGUUGCAUGUGUCAUGCUUAUAUUGUGGAUCAUGAGGCUGAAAAGAAGACAAAACGGUUACGCUCCUGUGCGUGGAAAUGAAGACGAAGUACAGAAGUAUAAAGACUUUUACGAGGAAGAGAAUAAAGAGAAAAGGCACGCUCUGCAGGAAGUAGAAACGUUUAAAGUUUUGCUUGACGAGGAGAAGAGGGAAGUACGAAAACAAAAAGCAAUGUAUGAAGAAGAGAAAGGUGAAAAAGAAGACGCCCCCUACAGAGUUAUGUAUCUGUUACGUCUAAAGGUUGAGUAAACUGAUGUCGAACCGACUUACGGAUGGUAAUCCGAACAUUGCUAAUCUAAGCGAUACGAAGAGACCGACAAAAUUAGCUGAUGAGUUAUCUGAACUAUACGACAAUGAAUGGACUGGGGCUUUUGAAAGUCUUCAAAUUAUUGAUAGUAAGGAGGAAAAAGAGACAAUACAUUUCUUGUACGAUGUUUUGCAGAUUUCAUUCGGAUGGUGCAAACUCCAAGCAUAUCAACAGUUGCAGAAAUUAAAAAGGCAGUUUCUUUGCCCCGGAGAAUCAGAAGCAAAUACAACUGUUGAUGUAAAUGUCAGCAAAGAUUCAAGGACAGUAGGAAAAUUUUAGCAGAGAAGACAGUAGCAUACGUAUCAAAGAAAGUGCUUGAUGAAGUUAAAAGGAAAUUCAGGGAGUAAGAAUGGGAAAAAGCUCUCCUGCAGAAACCAGUUGAAGCAUACUGCAGAAAAUGUGCGGAGUUGACCUGGUUUCUCGCUGUGCAAAAUCCGCCCAUGCACAUUAAGUUUACUGAUGUGAAAGCUGAAGAUGUCAAAGCUUAUACAAAGUCUGGAAAUGAAAUGGACUUCGUCGUAUGGCCACCACUGUAUUUACAAGAAAAGGGAAACCUUAUGAGCAAGGGCAUAGCUCAAUUUCGAAUGAAUCGGAUGUUUUGCCUCUGUGUUAAGGCCGUCGCGGACGGACCGGCCGAUCCGGACAUAUUUUUGGCCGAGCAUAAUAUCGGCCGGAAUCGGCCGUACCAAUAUUUUUUCGCAUUUUCAUCUUUUACUUUGAUUAAGUGCCGAAAUAUU